rnacentral:rRNA from 1 species
GGAGUUAGCCGGUGCUUCUUCUGUGAGUGAUGUCCUUCCUGCCGGCUAUUAACCCGCAGGCCUUCUUCCUCACUGAAAGUGCUUUACAACCCGAAGGCCUUCUUCACACACGCGGCAUGGCUGGAUCAGGGUUGCCCCCAUUGUCCAAUAUUCCCCACUGCUGCCUCCCGUAGGAGUCUGGGCCGUGUCUCAGUCCCAGUGUGGCUGAUCAUCCUCUCAGACCAGCUACGGAUCGUCGCCUUGGUGAGCCGUUACCUCACCAACCAGCUAAUCCGACAUAGGCUCAUCCGAUAGCGCGAGGCCCGAAGGUCCCCCGCUUUCCCCCGUAGGGCGUAUGCGGUAUUAGCCUGGGUUUCCCCAGGUUAUCCCCCACUACCGGGCAGAUUCCUAUGCAUUACUCACCCGUCCGCCGCUCGCCACCAGGGAGCAAGCUCCCCGUGCUGCCGCUCGACUUGCAUGUGUUAGGUCGUCGCCGCCACGCGUCUACUACUGAGACGACGAACUACAACUACUACGUACUAGAGGCGGGCGGUCGGCGAACGGACGGCGACUAG